rnacentral:tRNA from 1 species
GCUUGAAUAGUUUAAUGAAGAUGUUGCUUUGUGGGAGUAUAAGAUGCUGUUGUGGCUUUGAGUG